rnacentral:rRNA from 1 species
UGAUGCAUUGUUUAAGUCACAUGACUCUCGGCAACGGAUAUCUUGGCUCUCGCAUCGAUGAAGAACGUAGCAAAAUGCGAUACCUGGUGUGAAUUGCAGAAUCCCGUGAACCAUCGAGUUUUUGAACGCAAGUUGCGCCCGAGGCCUUUUGGUCGAGGGCACGUCUGCCUGGGCGUCACGU